rnacentral:lncRNA from 1 species
UCAAAGUAAGACUCUUCUAUAAGAUAGACAUUCACUCUAAUUAGAGUUCUAUUUAUAACAAGGUUCAUAUAUUUUAUUUUUUUAAUUUUAAUAAAUUUUUAUAUACAAAUUCUUAUUUUAUAGGUUCAGUUGAACUUAUAAGUGAUACGGUAUAUGCACCUUUUAAUGAUCAAAAGAGUACUAUAAUAAUGUAUGUAAUGAGAUAACACCAACCUUCUCACAAUAAUUUUUUAUCAAACUUAAUCAUAUUAAGCUAAAAUAUAUUUUUGUAAAUACUACUGUAUUUUCUCCAUAAACCUAAAAGUAGUGUCUUUUUUUUAAGGAGUCAAAUCCCGAUUAAAAAAAAAGUUGAUUUGCAUACUCUUAAAU